rnacentral:piRNA from 2 species
UGGAGCGGGUCCUGUUCUCUGGCACC